CGUUAUAACGUCCAUUACAGGAGAGUAUGUCUCCUCGUAGUCGAUGUUUGGCUCCAGUUUUGUUGCAGCUGGUCAACAGUCUCUUUUCUGCGCGGGCGUGCCAGCACCGUUCGGGUGCGGUCGUCGGGGAUGUCCCUUGACCUGACUUCUAUCAAGCGAUUGUGGACGAGGAGAGCACCAACCUCGUCGUGGGAUUCUUUGUGCCUCGUGGCGAGGACUUUUGCUGAGCUUCUUGAAAAUCACCAAAUCGAUACUCGAUGUUGUAGAUCGAGCAGAGCG
rnacentral:lncRNA from 1 species